GUUAAUCUAUGAUGGCUAUUAGCACCGUCAGAUGCCAAAUAAUUGCUUAAAAUCCACCCUAACCCAUUUCACCCUAAAUCCUUAAUUUUUUCUUCUCCCCCUCGCCAAGCUUCAUCAUUCUCUGUCGGCCUCCUUCGUUGCCCGAUACUCUGCUUGUGUCACCAUCCCCCUCUUUCUCCUCCUCUUCCGACCAUCUCUGUUGGAGACUUCUACGACAUUAACCUCCUCCUCUUCCAAUCUUCACCAC
rnacentral:lncRNA from 1 species